UACGUAGGGUGCGAGCGUUGUCCGGAAUUAUUGGGCGUAAAGGGCUCGUAGGCGGUCUGUCGCGUCGGGAGUGAAAACUCAGGGCUUAACCCUGAGCCUGCUUCCGAUACGGGCAGACUAGAGGUAUGCAGGGGAGAACGGAAUUCCUGGUGUAGCGGUGGAAUGCGCAGAUAUCAGGAGGAACACCGGUGGCGAAGGCGGUUAGCUGGGCAGUUGCUGACACUGAUGCGCGACAGCGUGGGGAGCAAACAGG
rnacentral:rRNA from 1 species